AAAAAAAAUUUAAAAUAGUGAAUAGCGUACUAAAAAUAAAUAUUAAAAUAAUUAGAAUCGAAAAAUGAGGUAUUAAGACCUCGAGAAUUUUAAAUCGAGCCAUAAAUAUUUUUAUAAAUAUUUAUGGAGCGUUAAUAAGUUAGUAUUAAAGUUUCGUCAAGAAAUUUUAAAGUUCUGAUAGUUAAUUGAACAAAAAGGACUAAAUUGUGUCAAAUGCAAAAUUAUGAGAAAUGAUUAAAUAGCUUAAAUGAUAAAAGAAAGAGGGUUUAAAAGGCAAAUAGACCCAAGGUCUCUUUGGGCUGGACGGCAAGGCAUGAAAUCAGCAAGAAAAUAAGGAGAAUUAAGGGCAAAAUUAGAAAAUUGCAAAAUUUACUUAAUAAAGCUAGGACUAAAGUGGAAUUAUCGAGAUUUCUCUUUAUUUUUCUGCAUUCUCAUCAGAAAAAACACCAUGGAAGAGUUCCUUCAAGCUGGUUUUUCAUAUUUUUACUUCAAGUAAGUUCAAUUCUUGAUUAUUUCUUGAAAUUUUUGUGUUUUUGUGACUUUUACAACUAGGUCCACUUGUUGAAUUCAUUAGUUUUUAAUUCUAUGAAAGAAAUUGAAAGUUGCUAUGAAUAUGUGCUAGAACUAUAUGAUGAUUUGGCAUGGAAUUAGAGCUUUAAAUUGUUUAUGUGCUGAUUUUAUUGAAAGAAUUGAAUAGAAAGUGAAUGUUUAGGACCUAAUUGUAAAAGAGUUUGAAGUUAAAGUUUCAUGUGGAAAUUCUGAAUUUCAAUAGUCAUGAAAUAACUUCUAAUGUCUAGGAAAAGUAUUAAUUGAGAAAAUUAUCUUAAUUGAGGGGUUAAUUGAGUAAGGACUGAAUUGUAUGAAUUGUGAAAUUUGGGGAAAAAUGAAAAUCAACACUUUGUACUAAAACUGUUUUGGACAGUAGCAGUAGUCUAACUUUUAAAAAUCACCAAAAAUUUUAGAAAUGGAAUUAGAGGAUGAAUAAAAUAUGAAAUUAAAGCUUAUUGAGUCUAGUUUCUUAUAGAAGAAAUUAUGUAAGCAACGGAAUUGUAAAUCAUGAAAUAUGAUAAAUUUUGUGAGACAAGGUCAGAAUGAUUUCGGGUUCCCCUGUUCUGAAUUUGAAAAAUCAUAAAAAAUUGGAUAAAAACAAUUAGGGGCUUAAAUUUAUAUGUUUAGAAUCCUGAAUGAGUCUAUUUUCAAGAGAAAUAAACGAGGACAUCAUUCGAAUUCUGUACGAGAAGAUAAUUAAUUUUUAGUGAAGAAGGGUCGGAACUGUCAGACAGCAGAACAGAGGAGAUUUCAAUGAGUAAACUGUAUUAAUUGGCCCAACCAAAAAUUAUGAAAUUUUUAUGGCAAGAAAACAUAUGAGCCUAGUUUCUGGGAAAAUUUAUUGAUCUUAAUUUCGAGUUCUGUAGCUUAAGAUAAAAAUGAUUUAGUGACUAUGACACGGAUGGACAGCUUGAAUAUUCACAUAAGUAAAUAGUGAAAAUUAUGGAUGAUGUUACUUACAAGUGUGUUAUUUAUACUAAGGAUGUGGAUGGAGAGGAGGAGGAGGAAAAAUAAAUAUAUAUAUGAAUGACUUGAUCACAUGCCCGAUUAUAAUCGAUAAAUGUUGAAUUAGAAAUGAUAUAAUGUUUUAUUUGGAAUAUUUAUUAUGAAAUUAUGAAUAUCGUUAUAAUACAAAAAUCGUACUUGUGAGUUUGUAUAACUAAAUUUUAGUAACCAUUUGUUAAUUUUAUGAAUUUCAUGAUGUGUUAUUUUAUAUGUAUUGAUGAUAAAAUCGCGAAUAAUGUAAAAACAUGAAAAUUGAAUAAAUGAUCAAAUUGAGCAUUACAAUUCAGUGACAAGAUGAAUUGAAGGAAAAGACCAUGGUUGGACCAUGGCAACAAGUGAUAAGUGAUAGCUUCGGCUACACUUAUCUGAUCAAUGACAAGUGAAAGUGAUAAGUGAUAGCUUCAGCUACACUUAUCUGUUCAAGGACAAAUGAAAGUGAUAAGUGAUAGCUUCGGCUACACUUAUUUGAUCAAGGAUAAGUGAAAGUGAUAAGUGAUAGCUUCGGCUACACUUAUCUGAUUAAGGACAAAUGAAAGUGAUAAGUGAUAGCUUCAGCUACACUUAUCUGAUCAAGGACAAAUGGCAAGUAAAAAGUGGUAGCUUCGGCUACCUGAUCAAUGAAAAGUGGUAGCUUCGGCUACUUGAUCAUCAGCUACUUGAUUAGUGAAAAAUGGUAGCUCCGGCUACCUGAUCAGUGAAUAGUGAUAGCUUCGGCUACAAGUGACAAGUGAUUUCUGUGUAAGACCAUAUCUGGGAUAAGACAUCAGUGUGAUAUGUGUAUAAAAUGUAAGACCAUAGCUGAGCUAUGGCAUUCUAAUGAAAAGACCAUAGCUAUGCUAUGGCAUCAGUGAUUGUCAGUGAAAUUCAGUGCAUACCGGUGCAGACCAAUUCUGUAAGAUGUUCACUAAUUUGAAAAAGUUUGGUAAGUAUUACAUGGAAUUAUGUGACAUAAGGAAAUACGAGUUGAUGAGACAUGAGCAUAAAACCGAUUGAUGAAUGAGUUCAUUUGUGAUUAUAUAUUUCUACGCCUUGAGUGUAUUAUCCGUAUGAAUUGGUAUUCCAAAUGAGUUAAUGAGAAAACUUCUAGUAUGAAAUAAUCUGAGUUCGAAAUGAAAUAUCAUGAAAACGUACCUGAAAUACAUUGGUAUGUCUUGUAUAUGCUAUUUGAAUUCAUGAAUGUGGGAAGUAAAUGUAUGUGGAAAUAAGAGAUGAUGAUAUCUGUACAUGGAAUUUAUUGAUGAAUACGUACAUCCAAAUUUAUAUGAUAGAUUUUAGUGUACAUUGAAAUUGGGCUCAAUAAGUGAUUUGGCAAUUUAAAUCGUGAUUGGCAGGAAGAGUUAGUGAAUUGCAAAUUUAUGAAUUGUUACACGUAUUUGUCUGAAAUACGAGGAAGUGAUGGCAAUUGAUACAUGUAAAUUUGAGACUAUGAUAUAUAUAUAAAAACAUGGAAUAUGUUUGAUAAAUGUGUUCAUUUAUAACUACGGAAUUAUGUACCUCAUGUGUGUUAUUUGCAUAAAGAUGAUAUUUCAAAGACUUUAGUGAAUAAAGCUUUAAUACGAAAUAGUAUGAAAUCGAGACAAGUUGCUAUGAAAAUGUAUUUAAAUUAUCUCUAAGUGUUUCGUGCUUCUCGGUAAUGCCUCGUACUCUAUUCCAGCGACAGAUACGGGUAGGGGUUGUUACAUUUAGUGGUAUCAGAGCUACGGUCUAGUCGGUUCUCGGACCGAACAUAACAUACGUGAAGUCUUGAAAUACAUGCCAUAUAAAUCUUUGAUAGUGUGAUGUGUAUGAUCCGGUCUAAUCUUUAUUUUACAUAUAGACAGAAAUACUUUUCAAUCGAGCUAUUUCAUAAAUUGUUGAAAGUGACACUAAGGUGUCUGAGUAAGAAUGUGUUUAAGAUGAGUUGAAACUUGAAAAGGUAUGAAAAAGAGUUCAUGAUAUGGAUGUGAUGAGGUACGAAAUGAACUAGUCAUAAAUUGCGAAAUAUGGGAAAAGUGAAAUGAAAUGAAAGUUUAUCUUGUGAUGAGCGCAUCUCUGUUUGUGUGACAUUCAUAUGAUAUUAUGUGCCUGACUUGUUUGAUUAAGUAAAUGCUAUGAGUGAACUUACUCAAAAUUCAUGGAAUGUAUGUUUAAGUACACUUGUUUAAAAAUGAUAAUUGAAAAGUUCAUGUAACAUAAUUAUGUAUGUUAAUUUGCUUGAAGUGAAUUAUGUAAUUGUAAGGAUAUGAUGUUGAUGAUAAAUGCUAAAUCUUAUGUAUGUAUUUAUGAGAGUCCAGUUAGAGGCUUUACGACCUCACCCCCUUAUCAAUGUGGUAUUUUAUAACGAAAAUUCACGAGAAUUAUGUUGAAUAGUUCACAAGUGUGAAACUAAAGAGUACAGUAGUGAAAUAAUUAAUAAUGCAGACGGAGUUAAAAAUAGUUUGACAAGUGAAUACAGUUUUGAAAAAGAUAUCAGAUUAUUCUAAAGAUCAUUCAGAUUACGUAAUGUCACGGUUAAAGAAAAAGUUAACCUUGGCUAAUCGACUUAUUCCGAUAUGAUGUCUAAAGUAUGUGGUUGCUGAAGUUUUUCCCAAAUUGGUUUUCGUUAGUGAAUGGAAUGAUGCAAGGUUCAUGAUGAUAGAAUUAGUCAGAGAAAUGAUAAUUGAAUAGUAAAGAUGUCUGUGUGUGUGACAAUUAUAGUUGAAAUGAAUAUGAUGAUCUUUUCUGGGUAUUAUAUAUAUUCUUUUAUCAUCAAAUAUUUGUGUUUGGUUGUUUAGUUUUUGAUGGAGUUCUUACGUUGUGAGAAUGCUAGCUAACUAUGAUGUUAGACAAAAGCCCUGUUGGUCUAGUCGAUUUAUGAUCAGUAUUUCUUCAUCUCUUUGGAAUUUUAUUCUAAUAUGUUGGAAUGAAGUCGAUGGUAAAAAUUUAUAUGAGACUAUUCUUAUGUUUCUACUGAUUAUGAUUUUAUUUUAUACAUUCGGAAAAUAUAUUAUCUUUGUUAUGAUGUUUUUAGUAGGUAAGCAGUGUUUUUUUCUUUUGACUUUCUCUGAGGAAUUAUCAAGAUCUUUAUUAUCUUCUUGUGUGUUAGAUGUGCUAGUGAUUGCAAGCGCGCUACAUAAAUAUUUUUGAGUUCAAGCCGAAUAUCAAGAGCAUUCAGGAUUAUUGCAGUCAGUGAUAAUACUAGUGCGAUAUGAGAUAGAAUAGCUAUAGAUUUCGAAUUGGGAUUGUCAUUAACAUCAGAAAGGAAAAUGUUAUUUAGUUUAUGGUUAAUCAUUUCACAAAGAAAGAUCUGUAUGAUCAUUUCAGUAGGUACAGAGUUUUUUUUAUUUGACAGAUCAACUAAGUAUUUGUAUUCCUAAGAGGGUAAUUUAGAAUUUUGACAAUAAGUUCCAACAUUUAUUCCAGAGUUCAAAGGUGACUGGAAAAAAAAUAAUAUUCGAGGUUAAACCGAAUUGUGAUUUUGAGAAGUUAGUAAAAGUGUUUCAUGAAUAUUGAAAGCAACUUUUUCUAAUAAGAUUUUCGGGGACGAAAAUCCCUAAAGGGGGGGAGAGUUGUAACAGCCUAAUUUUCAGUGGUGUCAGAACAGUGAUUUGAGAUCACUAAAUCCGACAAAUGAGUAGGAAAUAUUAUUAAUUUAGUGAGAAUAAGUUAAAUGUGAAGUUAGGGAAAAAAAUUUAAAAUAGUGAAUAGCGUACUAAAAAUAAAUAUUAAAAUAAUUAGAAUCGAAAAAUGAGGUAUUAAGACCUCGGGAAUUUUAAAUCGAGCCAUAAAUAUUUUUAUAAAUAUUUAUGGAGCGUUAAUAAGUUAGUAUUAAAGUUUCGUCAAGAAAUUUUAAAGUUCUGAUAGUUAAUUGAACAAAAAGGACUAAAUUGU
rnacentral:lncRNA from 1 species